GAUGAACGCUGGCGGCGUGCCUAAUACAUGCAAGUCGAGCGAACAGACGAGGAGCUUGCUCCUCUGACGUUAGCGGCGGACGGGUGAGUAACACGUGGAUAACCUCCCUAUAAGACUGGGAUAACUUCGGGAAACCGGAGCUAAUACCGGAUAAUCUAUUGAACCGCAUGGUUCAAUAGUGAAAGACGGUUUUGCUGUCACUUAUAGAUGGAUCCGCGCCGCAUUAGCUAGUUGGUAAGGUAACGGCUUACCAAGGCAACGAUGCGUAGCCGACCUGAGAGGGUGGUCGGCCACACUGGAACUGAGACACGGUCCAGACUCCUACGGGAGGCAGCAGUAGGGAAUCUGCCGCAAUGGGCGAAAGCCUGACGGAGCAACGCCGCGUGAGUGAUGAAGGUCUUCGGAUCGUAAAACUCUGUUAUUAGGGAAGAACAAAUGUGUAAGUAACUAUGCACGUCUUGACGGUACCUAAUCAGAAAGCCACGGCUAACUACGUG
rnacentral:rRNA from 1 species